GCUCUGCCCCGAGGCAGGGCUGCCGAAAGGCGAUUUACCUGCGGGCAGGCACCCCCGAGCCUGAGCUGGGGUCAGCCGUCAGAAAAAGCCGUUUUCGGCUCAUUGAAGCACGGUGAUGGAGAAUGCAUCCAGAGCACGUAACAAGGAUGCUGCGGGAGCAUCCACACGCAGCGCUGGGUCAGAGAGGUCAGAGCUGCCCCCGGACCCGGCUGAAUCACACAGUAACUCCUGCAGAAAAAUGCACCAGCCACACACACCUCUCCCAGCUCACUGUAAAACUGACUGACAGAAAAUUGAAGUGUGAAUGAAAAUUCAGAACAUUUUCAGAAAACAUUAUUAAUUAAAGUAUCAGCUCGAAGUAUCGUAGUCCCUUAGCAUUGGAGCAAUACCGUUGUCCUUAUGAACAAGCAAAAGUACUAUGAUGUGGAAGCAUCACAGAAAAGCACUAAUGAAGAUCACAGUUCCCUUACUCGCAGCAUCUACAUACGGUUUAAGCACUGCUGUACGGUAUUAGUACCACCAUGAGGCAAUCCAGCAAAUGGGAAUCAGACAUGAAGAACGCCAGGCGAUUUAUACAGAAGGCUGAGAUAUGAUGUAAAUGUUCAUAUACGCACUAUAAACAAAAGCAACUCAAGCAAUUGUAGAGGGACAUUUCUUCAAGGAGACAAUAAAAUUGUCAAUAAUGAUGAUAAAAAGAUACACGUAAUCAAUAAAUGUUUCUACUCUCCGU